rnacentral:rRNA from 1 species
UACGUAGGGUGCGAGCGUUGUCCGGAAUUAUUGGGCGUAAAGAGCUUGUAGGCGGUCUGUCGCGUCUGCUGUGAAAAUCCGGGGCUCAACCCCGGACUUGCAGUGGGUACGGGCAGACUAGAGUGUGGUAGGGGAGACUGGAAUUCCUGGUGUAGCGGUGAAAUGCGCAGAUAUCAGGAGGAACACCGAUGGCGAAGGCAGGUCUCUGGGCCACUACUGACGCUGGAGAAAGCGAAAGCAUGGGGAGCGAACA